GCGGGUUUACGACCUCGAUGUUGGAUCAGGGUAUCCCAGUGGUGCAGCCGCUACUAAAGGUUCGUUUGUUCAACGAUUAAAACCCUACGUGAUCUGAGUUCAGACCGGAGUAAUCCAGGUCAGUUUCUAUCUAUAAAGAGCUUUUUCUAGUACGAAAGGACCGAAAAAACAUGGCCCAUGCAUAAUGUAAGCCAUACUUAAUAAUUUAUGACUUAAACUCAAUAAAUACUUAACCUUCAACAAGACUCAAAACAAGAGUAGUU
rnacentral:rRNA from 1 species